rnacentral:lncRNA from 1 species
AAAUUGCAUUCAAGGUUGGAAGACUUAAUUGAUGUGAGUGUAGAAAAUAUACAAAAACAAAAAAAAACGUGGUGAAAAUUUUGCAAAACCAUAAAAGGGAACAUAAACCAAAUAAAAACCAAUAUAAAAGUGUUGUGGCUGCAAAGACGAAAACUUAAAAACCAACCCCUGGAUAAGGUACGCCAAGAAAAAAAUGAAAAAGUGACCUUAUUACAUAAUUCCAUGUAUGUACUGUACAUAGGUUAUGAUCCACGUGUGGCAGGAAAUUGCUGACCUGGCCUGACCCUCGGUCUCGGAGGGGGGGUCCGCUCCAGUACCACGAUCAUCCGUCCCUCUUUUGGUGCCACCGGACCUUGCCUGCAGGCGAAAAAACGGAUGGACUUGGCGAUCGGGACCGAGUUGUUUAUAUACAUAUAUCUCACGCGCAACUAUUAAACCAUCUAUUAUAUUAUAUCACCGCGCCUUGUGUAAAGAAACGUUGGUGCUUGCAUAUGUAGGGUGUGGAAAAAUUAGCUCAGCGGUCAUUGCCCUUGCGGCUGACCAUACACCUAUGCGCACUUAAAUAGACCCACCUGACCGUAUGUCACCUAUUCUCUCCUUCUCUCAGGUUAUUAAAAUUGUUCAAUGCCGACAUUCUAAAAGCCACUUAAGGGAAGAAAAGUAAAUCACAAAAAUCUAGAAAAGAAAACUUAAUGAAAAAUUAUGAAUAGAAGAAAAAAAAAUAGAAAAGAAAAUUGUUCAAUAAUAUUAAAUAUUCCUAGACAUUAACUUAGAAAUAGAAGAAGAAAAACAUUAAAUUUAUGCGUAGUUAAUAAUAGAUUCUAAAGGGUGCCUGAUCGGUCUCAUUGUGUCCAUGGAAGGGUAUUGGUAAAAUACCUCUUCAUAACGCUUCUUUGUUAUUUUGCAUAUUUCUACAUUUCUUUAACAGUUAGAACGUGAAAUUGGGCCCAAC